UUUAAUAAAACUUUUAACUAAAUAUAGGCUAAAUUACCGACCGUCCCUAAAGCAAGUGGCAGAGGCCUUGGUGGUUGGUAUCCGAGACCCAAGUUCGAAUUCUAGUUGAUUCACAUUUCCAGCUAAGUUUAUUUCUAAAUGAAAUAAACGAAGCGAGUAGCGUGCUACCUAUCUCUCAAAAAAAAUAUAUAUCUAUAUAUAGGCUAAAUUGCAUAUUUGGUCAUUAAGGCUAGCUGGUGACACUUUGGUUCUCAAACUUUUAAUUAAAUUUUUUAUUUUUACUUCUUAAUUAAAU
rnacentral:lncRNA from 1 species